GUGCUUGUUUCAGCAGAACAUAUACUAAAAUUGAAAUGAUACAGAGAAGAUUAGCAUAGCCCCUGCAUAAGGAUAGCAUGAAAAUUUGUGAAGCAUUCUAUAAAAAA
rnacentral:snRNA from 1 species